UACGAAGGGGGCUAGCGUUGUUCGGAAUUACUGGGCGUAAAGCGCACGUAGGCGGCUUUGUAAGUAAGAGGUGAAAGCCUGGAGCUCAACUCCAGAAUAGCCUUUUAGACUGCAUCGCUUGAAUCAUGGAGAGGUGAGUGGAAUUCCGAGUGUAGAGGUGAAAUUCGAUAGAUAUUCGGAAGAACACCAGUGGCGAAGGGCGGCUCACUGGACAUGUAUUGACGCUGAGGUGGCGAAAGCGUGGGGAGCAAACAGG
rnacentral:rRNA from 1 species